UACGUAGGGGGCAAGCGUUGUCCGGAAUCAUUGGGCGUAAAGAGCGCGUAGGCGGCCCUGUAAGUCCGCUGUGAAAGUCAAGGGCUCAACCCUUGAAUGCCGGUGGAUACUGCAGGGCUAGAGUCCGGAAGAGGCGAGUGGAAUUCCUGGUGUAGCGGUGAAAUUCGUAGAUAUUAGGAAGAACACCAGUGGCGAAGGCGGCUCACUGGCCCGGUACUGACGCUGAGGCGCGAAAGCGUGGGGAGCAAACAGG
rnacentral:rRNA from 1 species